AACCUGGUUGAUCCUGCCAGUAGUCAUAUGCUUGUCUCAAAGAUUUAGCCAUGCAUGUCUCAGUAUAAGUUUUCACACAACGAAACUGCGAAUGGCUCAUUAAAACAGUUAUAGUCUACUUGAUAGUCAAUCGUUAUAUGGAUAACUGUGGCAAUUCUAGAGCUAAUACAUGCAUAAAGACCUGACUUCUCGGAAAGGUCGUAUUUAUUAGAUACAGAACCAAUCCCUUCGGGGUUUUUGGAUGAUUCAUAAUAAAUGAACGGAGCGCAUGACUUGUGUCGGCGCUGUUUCAUUCGAGUUUCUGACCUAUCAGCUUCCGACGGUAGGGUAUUGGCCUACCGUGGCAUUGACGGGUAACGGAGAAUUAGGGUUCGAUUCCGGAGAGGGAGCCUUAAAAACGGCUACCACAUCUAAGGAAGGCAGCAGGCGCGCAAAUUACCCAAUCCUGAUACAGGGAGGUAGUGACAAGAAAUAACACAGAGAGUGCUUAUCGCAUUUCUCUUUGGAAUGAGCAGAAUUUAAAUCUCUUUUCGACUAUCAAUUGGAGGGCAAGUCUGGUGCCAGCAGCUGCGGUAAUUCCAGCUCCAAUAGC
rnacentral:rRNA from 1 species